GACGUAGGGCGCGAGCGUUUGUCCGGAUUUAUUGGGCGUAAAGAGCUCGUAGGCGGUUUGUCGCGUCUGCUGUGAAAACUCAGGGCUUAACCCCUGAGCCUGCAGUGGGUACGGGCAGACUAGAGUGUGGUAGGGGAGAUCGGAAUUCCUGGUGUAGCGGUGGAAUGCGCAGAUAUCAGGAGGAACACCGGUGCGAAGGCGGAUCUCUGGGCCAUAACUGACGCUGGAGGAGCGAAAGCAUGGGGAGCGAACAGGA
rnacentral:rRNA from 1 species